UGAGGAAUUUUGCGCAAUGGGGGAAACCCUGACGCAGCGACGCCGCGUGGAGGAUGACGUCCUUCGGGAUGUAAACUCCUGUCAGAGGGGAUGAUGAUGACAGUACCCUCAGAGGAAGCACCGGCUAACUCCGUG
rnacentral:rRNA from 1 species